rnacentral:rRNA from 1 species
UAACCUGUUUUGUAAUUGAUGGUCCACGUUUUAUCUUACCUUACCUUGAAGCGCCUAGGAGAUAGUAGGUGAGUCAGCUUGUAUACCGUCGCCGGUAGAUCACCCUUGAGGGGCGUAAAGUGGUCGGGAAGAGAGGGGAGAGCAUAGACUGAUGUACUGUGUUUUAAUAGUGAUUGAUGGCUGUGCUCAUUGCGUUGUGUUGUCUGAAAGGGCUACGUGGACGUUUGGCUUCUCAGGAUGUCAGAUCAAGGUGCAGCCCAUAAUAAAGUAAUGAUGGGUU